AUGAACGCUGGCGGCGUGCCUAAUCCAUGCAAGUCGAGCGAACAGACGAGGAGCUUGCUCCUCUGACGUUAGCGGCGGACGGGUGAGUAACACGUGGAUAACCUACCUAUAAGACUGGGAUAACUUCGGGAAACCGGAGCUAAUACCGGAUAAUAUAUUGAACCGCAUGGUUCAAUAGUGAAAGACGGUUUUGCUGUCACUUAUAGAUGGAUCCGCGCCGCAUUAGCUAGUUGGUAAGGUAACGGCUUACCAAGGCAACGCUGCGUAGCCGACCUGAGAGGGUGAUCGGCCACACUGGAACUGAGACACGGUCCAGACUCCUACGGGAGGCAGCAGUAGGGAAUCUUCCGCAAUGGGCGAAAGCUUGACGGAGCAACGCCGCGUGAGUGAUGAAGGUCUUCGGAUCGUAAAACUCUGUUAUUAGGGAAGAACAAAUGUGUAAGUAACUAUGCACGUCUUGACGGUACCUAAUCAGAAAGCCACGGCUAACUACGUG
rnacentral:rRNA from 1 species